ensembl:lncRNA
AGGUCAGUGACUUAAUUCGUCCGCGUUUGCUUUCAGUCUGUCUGUCAAAAUGCGACUCUCUUAUUUCUUUUGUUACUGUGUUUACUCUCUUUUUCUAACCUAGAAAUAUGGGUUUCUAAUCGAGUUGUCAUUUCCUCGUGCAGUAGUUUAUUUACCUGUUAAAAUGUUGUGUGAUGAGUUGGCUGGUUUGGUGUUUGGCACAGGGUUGAGGAAAAAAAAUCCAGUUGAUGAGGAUAAAAGGACAAUCAGAUAUUAACGAAGAAAUGCUGUUUCAUGGCACAGGUGCAAAAAAUGUGCACUCUAUUUGCACAUUAAAUUUUAACUGCAGACUACGAGACAUGAAAAGAAAGGGACACAUAUUAGGCAAAGGAACCUAAUUUGCAAAACAUGAAUCCUUUGCUACCAAAUAUAGUGAAAACACCGGCCAGGGAACCAAAGUCAUGCUGCUUUCCCGCGUUAUCGUAGGGAAGUUCAAAACAGGCCAUCGAGAUUACUGUACACCUGAUGAUGAGCAGUAUGAAAAGAUACAUGAUAGUUGUGUAGAUAAUACACUCUAUCCAAGGAUUUUUGUUAUUUUUGAUUGCAAUCAGAUAUAUCCAGAGUACGUGCUCGAAUAUCGCUGCAACUCAUUUACUGCAACAGUGAAUGCUGGGGGAACUAGAGAAUGUGUGUGAAAUGCCAGAAUGUUUAUAUAAUACAGGUUAAUGCAGACCUAAAGGGUUUUUGGGAAAACAUUUUGGCAAAGUGUUGGGAUUUAAUGCAUUUUA